CGUGGAGCGAUUUGUCUGGUUUAUUCCGAUAACGAGCGAGACUCUAGCCUACUAAAUAGUCUACCCAUUGCUUGUGGUGUAGUACUUCUUAGAGGGAUUUUCGGUGUACAGCCGCACGAGAUUGAGCAAUAACAGGUCUGUGAUGCCCUUAGAUGUCCGGGGCUGCACGCGCGCUACACUGGCGAAAUCAGCGUGCUUUUCCUUUCUCGAAAGGGAUUGGUAAACCAUUGAAAAUUUGCCGUGAUUGGGAUCGGAAAUUGCAAUUAUUUUCCGUGAACGAGGAAUUCCAAGUAAAUGCGAGUCAUCAACUCGCGUUGAAUACGUCCCUGCCCUUUGUAC
rnacentral:rRNA from 1 species